rnacentral:piRNA from 1 species
UCCUCUCAACAUUGAAAGAAGUAGGAGUGU